GACGAACGCUGGCGGCGUGCUUAACACAUGCAAGUCGAACGCUGAAGCUUGGUGCUUGCACUGGGUGGAUGAGUGGCGAACGGGUGAGUAAUACGUGAGUAACCUGCCCUUGACUCUGGGAUAAGCCUGGGAAACUGGGUCUAAUACUGGAUAUGACAUGCCACUGCAUGGUGGUGUGUGGAAAGGGUUUUACUGGUUUUGGAUGGGCUCACGGCCUAUCAGCUUGUUGGUGGGGUAAUGGCCUUCCAAGGCGACGACGGGUAGCCGGCCUGAGAGGGUGACCGGCCACACUGGGACUGAGACACGGCCCAGACUCCUACGGGAGGCAGCAGUGGGGAAUAUUGCACAAUGGGCGGAAGCCUGAUGCAGCGACGCCGCGUGAGGGAUGACGGCCUUCGGGUUGUAAACCUCUUUCAGCACGGAAGAAGCGAGAGUGACGGUACGUGCAGAAGAAGCGCCGGCUAACUACGUG
rnacentral:rRNA from 1 species